GGUUAAAGGGGCUCUUUGUAAUUGAGCCAGGGAGUCUCCAAGUGAACAGUUCUCACGGGGUGGGGGGUGAUGGUGGUGGUGGUGGCAAAAUAGGAUGGGGGAGGAUGCUUGACACCAAUCACUGAAGGAAGUAAUCAGAGUGCAGCCAAUGCGGGUGCAAGCCUGCCUGCCACCUCAGUGAUCAUUGGCUGUGUCUACUUUAUGAAGCACAGUCUAUUAAGACCUUGGCUGGCCUGCCUACGGCUGCCCAGUGCUCCCUUCUCAAUGCCUGCACUCAGACGACCAGAACUCGAUCAACCAUGUUAUAUCAAUAGCAUUCUCACACCAGGUUGUGUAAAUUGAUCUUUUACAAUUUCUCUUGGUGACAGUCUCUGUAACCAACAAGAUAAAUCAUUCCUCCCGUGGCUUUUUUAUUGAUUGCUGAGACCUGUAUAAAAAUUACUCGGCUCCAGCUGCACGGUGAACGUCAUUGUGAAAGAGGACUUUUUAUUUACAAUCAAAAUAUGUUUGGGCCUAGAUCAAGUGCAGAUUUACUAGCUCGGGAAUUUAACAGACUCCAAGAAAACCAAAAAUUAGAACUCUUCUCCACCAAAACCCAGUCAUGAUGAACUUGAGCAGACAUCUAAUGAGUCUUAAAUUGAGACAACGAUAUUUCUGAAACAGAGGGGCUUCGUGCAUUUGAUUUUAAGACAAACAGACAAUAGGAAGCCAUCUGAUUAAAAGUGAGAGGUACACAAAAGCCCAUAACUGAACUAAAUCUUUGCCUGCAUUUGAAUCACUCACAACCUCUUGUUUCUAAUAGAUGAAUGAAAGCACCAUUGGAUGAGCUCAGACAAGAUCAGAAACGGGUCAAUGGGCCACCCCAGGUAUUUGGUGUAUUUUGAAAAAAAAAAAAGGUAUUUACAUUAUUUUGUGAGCUGAAAAUUAUCACCCAUUCUUCCAUAAUAGUAAUUCUAAGUACUUGGAAAUUUUUUAUGUAAUCAAAGUAAAUACAAAUAACAUCUUUCAAUAUUUCAUACAAACAACAUCUUGAAAUAGAAAGAGUUUUCCUCCAUUGCAUAUUUAUGUUCAAUUAAAGAAGCAAAUGUGUGUUGUUUGGGGGAAAGUUUUAAGGUGAAAUGUGUGUUUACAUUAUCUCUAAUCUUUUUUAAACAAGUUUUCAUUGGGGCACCUAAUUUUAAAUUAUCGGCUGCUAAAUGCUGUCGCUUCCCCCAUUGGGGACCUACUUUUUUUUUUAAUGCAAAAAGAAAGCUGUUACACAUUUUUACAUUCUCACAUAAGAGGAGCUGCUGAUAUUUAUAAAAUAAGGAGAACUAUCCCCACUUCACCCUUCGCAAAAUUCACUUUCUAUGCAACCCCUGUGGGCGGGUAUUGCAUUACAACUCAAAUAGCGUUCCACAGCCUAAGAAUCCUUUUGUAUACAUCUAAGAGCUGAGACAGAGAUAGUUGCUUUUGUCCUUUCCCCUUGAGCCUGGGCUCCGUCUCUCUGAAGCUGUGCUCUUUAUUUGAGUUUUAGAGAAGGCCCUUUCAAUGGGACUGGCCUGGGUAGGUGGGGGUGAGACAGAAGGGCUGUCUGGCUCAGUGUCCUCACUGCCUUGACCCAGAGGAAGAAAACCGAGAUGUGGAAGAGAGUGACUUUGGGACUCCCUCGCCUAGAUGAGAUCCACCUGGGAGUAUGGUCAGGAGCACACUAGGGCCACACUGGGGCUACCAGUAGGACAGGCAGGAGACAGAUCCCUGACUACAGAAGCAGGCUGGGAACUGACAGCUGCGCUCCCAGGAACGCCUUCUUUUAAAGGGUCAUUUACAAGUGUCUUGCCUGGGACUGGCUCGCAGCUGCCUGCUCUUUCCAGCCUGUGGCCCCACAGAUGCCCCCCAGCUCCCACAGGGCAGAGUUCAGUCUGUUUGCACCAGACAGUUGGUGCCUGUGCACAGCCGCACCUGCAGGCUUGCUCACUGUCUCUGAUUCUCUGGAACUCCUCGUGGAGGUGAGAGUUUGUAGGUUCUAUCCCUAAUCUAUUUCCAAGGAGUCCUUAGUCAACACUGUCAGCGGCAAUGAGAACUUUGAAUCUCCUGUUCAGCGUGGGAAGAAACGUUCGGGCGCCCCAUUCCAGCCAGGCACAUCGUCUCCAUUUCUCCUCGCCCGCCUCUGCGACACGUCUGCUGCCACACAUUGUCAGUGAUUGUGGGAAAGGGCCGCCAGCCUUUCCGCAGCUCCAGGCCGCCCUAAUGAGGGAACAAUCGUCCCGGCAGAGAGCAGGCGACCGGGUCAGCGCGCCCAGCACAAAGCACGGACGCCUGCGCCCCGAGGUCCCCGCAGAAAAGGCGAGUCGCGGCCUGGGAGCCAGCAGCGUUUCUUCCAGAUCACCUUGCUGGAACUUAGCUUAGCAGAAGUCAGGCGACAGGAACAAUAGCCGGGUGCAAGGGUGAUCCUGGAGGGAAGCCGAGCUUGGUUCCCGAGGUGCGCGGGAUGAAUAGAGCAGUGGGCCUGUGUCACAGAGCCCCCAAGGCCCUAGUUGGAGGGUCGGUUUUGCCUCCCCAUCCAGUCCAGUCCUGCCUUGAAAAGAAGCAAGAAGCCCUGCCUGGAGAAGGGCUCUCUUCCAGAAAUCUUUCUGUCUUCUUGAUUUUUUUUUCUCUUAAAAUAUAUAUUAGCUCAGACAGACCCUGUCAAUAAUGGGCUGAUAGUAGAAAAUGACGGAAAUUGUGUCUCCUCUGAAGGCAGACACACUUUAUCAGUCAAAAUACCCGUUGAAAUCUUGUAACCCAGAACAGUAUCCUAAGAGAAGUGAGCCCCGCCCCCCGCCACACCCAUGUUUUUCAACUUCAAAACAUUAAAUGGUACAGGGUGGCUCUUUCUGAUUUUAUUUAAUAUUGAUAUAGGCUCUUCUCUACCCUUGACCGGAGUCUAGAGAGGAGCAAGCUUAGGGACGAGGGGUAAAGAAAAAACGUAUUUAGUCUUAACCUGAAAUCUUAAAUGUAAAAUUAUUUCCUCCAAUGACACCAACGCUGCAGUCAGAUACCAGGUUUUUAAAGCAGAGAUUUAGCAGGCAUGGGACUGCCAAACGCUUUGGAUAUCACAUGCUCCCCAAACUCAGGAGUUUAAAGGGGUCGGAAGAGUUGUUUCCUUCACUCCAGCUAUUUACCUAACUCUUUUGGAGAUCAGAGUGACUCCUGGGAGAGCCAACCAUCUGUCAGAACGGGACAGGUGAGAAGACACUCUACCCACUACGGGGUACUUAACAUCACCAACUGGAUCAAAGCUCUACCCAUUCUGCUGAAAAUGAGCAGAAACCCAGUGUUAUCAAAGACUUCCUACCCUACUGUCCCCGAUGCUGCCCAGGAAGCCAAAGCAGGACAGUGCCCAGGUCCCAGCUUAAUAAUAACACCCUACCCCCACCAAUCAGAAGCUGACAAACAAGAAAUGGGCAGAAGGCAAGAGGCCAGGAUGAUCCAUUGAUUUUACUGUUCCUCUGUUGACCCUACCUGAACUGAGCAAGGGGAGUGCAGGAGCAAAGCCCUGUCUUUUGGUGUGCAUAAGGCACAACACUACAUAACCAGGCAAAGGGAAACAACAGACCGUUCAAAAGGUUUGCCAAAGAAGGAAAAAGGAGCCCAGUGAUGGGCAGAAAAGAAGUGGAUUCGACUGGCCUUUUCUGCGGGGACCUGGGGGCGCAGGCCUCAUGCAUUGUGUUGGGUGCGCUGCUCCCCUCAGGGACAAUUGGAUACUGGGCUUAGGGUAAACUGAGGACUUUAUGUUUAAUUAACUUUCCCUACAGUUGUCUGAGCCAAGGUACAUCUAUUCUCUGACUUUUCCUACUAAGGGGUUGGAGCACCUGGAAAUAAAAAGAAAACAAAACCGAGGUAUCGGUGACCCCCAAAUGGGAAAGCGGCUUAGAAGUCUAUACAGACCCACAAAAUUAGAUCAGUGCUCAGGCUGCUAUUCCUGAACGCUUGAGAAGAAAGCUUAUUUCUGAGGAAGAGAAGCCCAAAGUCUCUUUCAAACUGAGCAUCUACUCCCAAGCGGGAUUCCAAGGUUGAUACCCUCUGCGAAGACAAGAGGUCUUUACCAUGGAAAUGACGGAAGAGCUGCAGCUCCACAUAGUAUUGUCCUAGCUCUAGCCUAUGGUUUCAGUCGAAGACGGUGUUGAUUUCCAGAAACACACCCUACUGCAGAAUUCCCUAACUACGCCCUAAGAGCUCAUGUUUAAAACAGUCCUCUCUGAGCCAUAAAAGAACACUGUAGACGUCAUCCUUCCAUUCUGUUUGCUGACCACUGACAGCUAAAACAUUUCUUUCCACUGACAAUUCUUGUAAUGUUGUUUUAUCAUAUUAUUAUUACUUGGAAUAGCUUCAGGAAUAAGUUGGAGUGUCAAAUAAACUUAAAGGAUAUGUUGAAAUUAAUGUCCCCAAUACUCUGAAUCCUGGCUCCUAAAGAUGUUGUAACUGAGUAGCAGUGGCCAUGCAUAUUCUGCCAGCAGUAAAGGGGUCCUGAACAGGCAGAAGCCUAAACUUAUUUUAAAAACAGAUGCAAAAAUGAGCCUGAGUUGUUUCUGUCAGCGCUCAGCUGCACUGCAGCCAUGAUUCUGAACAUACCACGUGCACUUCACACCAUGCAUGCCAGCAAACCACUCAGUACCCACGAUGGCUUCCUGGAACACCUGGGCUCAGCAGCCAGACUAUUGUGUGCUAUGAACUGAAGUGUUUAACUAUGAGCACAGAGUCCUCUGCUCGUGUCUACACAGUAUGCUUGAAUUAUGGAAGACAGAGACUUUCAACAGUUGUCUACUGUUGUUCCUCAGCAGGAACAGCAAAACAGUACUUGGUUGGUUGGUACUGUGCUAGGAUAUCUGGUUUUUAAAAUUGCUGUUUGAGUUGCUGACUUGUGUUGCGUUUAAAUAUAAUUUCAUUCAAUGAAUUUUGGCUUUAAAUUAGGACGGAGUUUCCAAAAUCACCCAAAAUCUGAUACUGCCAUAUUUUACUAUUUGUCUAUGAAAAACAGCAUUAUUCUCAGAACUGACAAUCAAAAACACAUGAACACAGAGCAGCCAUAUUCGAGAGCUCUGCAUUUAAUUGAGAGAUCCUGCCUCAUAGCAGAGAGCUCUGGGCUUGAUUGAGAGAUCCUGCCUCAAUGAAUAAAGUGGAAGAGUUAUUGAGGGUAAUUAUCAACUUCAACCUCAGGCCUCCCCAGACAUGUGCACACACAUCUAUGUGUACCAUACACACACGUGCACAUGCAUCACACACUUGAAAACAUGUAUAUGCAUGCAUGCAAACCACACACUCACAAAAAUAGAAAAAUAAAUACAGACUUUAAAGCCAGAGCACUCCCUUCUAAUUAUUAGUAUAUCUUGUUCAUCUCCCACCAUUUAAACGCACACGAGUUAGAAAAAUGUGUGGAUUUCCUUUUCCACUGCCCAUCCCCUAAAGGAAAAGACAAGACCCACAUUUGGAUUCUUCAAUGAUUCCAUUCAGUUGUUCCAAGGAAACCCCUGAAUGACUUCUCUGUUUCCCAGUUCCAAGUGUUUGGAAUGGUGCAUUUAAAAAAGAAUGUGAAAUACAAUAAAAUAAAUUAUUAUUCUAACCUUGCAUUAUAAGCAUGUCACAAGUUCUUAAAGAGUUGUUUGUGUGGUAAGGGGUAAUAAAAUGUGAUGUGUGGAAGAAAGAAGCGCAGCCUGGAGGCCCUGUUGCAGGGAGUGCUGAACAAUAGAUGCCCUCUGAGGAGUCUGCCUCUGACUUCAGCUCACUCUAUGCCUUUUGAUCAUUUAGAAGAUGCCGAUAAAGCCACGUCAGUUGCCUGGGGAUGAAACCAUCUAGUGACCAUUCUAAUUUCCAGUGUGGGAAGACAAGGUAGUAACAGGUCCUUUGGACAUUCCAAGAGUGACCACCAUGAGUGGUGUGCUCUCUCAUUUUUUUCCUUAAUCCACCCACAGAGGAGGUGGAUUGGUGGGUCCUCACAGGUUUUAUGUAGAAACCUAGUGAGCCCGCACGAGUAAAGAAGAAGUUGUAGAGGCCUCCCUGUGUCCUCGGUUAUUAUUCAACCCAAGCGCUCUGGCUGUUUUCCAGUUUUCAAUGAAGACCCAACUGACUGGCGGUUCACCCGCUCUCCAGCUGGUUUGAAGACCUAUUGGUAGCUUUUUCUUGAACUCUGCUCAUCCUCAGCCCUUCCCUUUAAAGAGAACACAUUUCCCUCAUGUCUGCCUCAGCCGUUGAUGUGUCAGGAGAAAAAUACAAAGGCUUUCACAUCUUAGCAGCUCUGUCUCUUACAUUAACACUCCACUCUUGAAUGUAAGAAAGCAAACUACUGCUCAGUGCUUUAGAAGUGAAUAAAACAAUUUU